rnacentral:rRNA from 1 species
UUGAUAGUNACCAUCAUUAANUUGGGUACUCUAUUGAGACUGCCGCUGACAAGGCGGAGGAAGGUGGGGACGACGUCAAGUCAUCAUGGCCCUUACGACCAGGGCUACACACGUGCUACAAUGGGUAUUACAGAGGGCUGCGAAGGUGCGAGCUGGAGCNAAACUCAAAAAGGUACUCUUAGUCCGGAUUGCAGUCUGCAACUCGACUGCAUGAAGUCGGAAUCGCUAGUAAUCGCAGGUCAG